AAGGUUUUAUGGAUUGUAAACUUCUUUUGCAGGGGAAUAAAGGACGGUACGUGUACUGUUUUGUAUGUACCUUGCGAAUAAGGAUCGGCUAACUCCGUGCCAGCAGCCGCGGUAAUACGGAGGAUCCGAGCGUUAUCCGGAUUUAUUGGGUUUAAAGGGUGCGUAGGUGGAUUGUUAAGUCAGUGGUGAAAGUUUUCAGCUCAACUGAAAAAUUGCCGUUGAAACUGUCGAUCUUGAGUGCAAAUGAGGUAGGCGGAAUGUGUUGUGUAGCGGUGAAAUGUUAGAUAUAACACAGAACUCCGAUUGCGAAGGCAGCUUACUGGGAUGCAACUGACACUGAUGCACGAAAGCGUGGGUAUCAAACAGGAUUAGAUACCCUGGUAGUCCACGCAGUAAACGAUGAAUACUAGCUGUAUGCGAUACACCGUAUGUGGCACAGCGAAAGCGUUAAGUAUUCCACCUGGGGAGUACGAUCGCAAG
rnacentral:rRNA from 1 species